UGGGGAAUUUUGGACAAUGGGCGAAAGCCUGAUCCAGCCAUGCCGCGUGAGUGAAGAAGGCCUUCGGGUUGUAAAGCUCUUUUAGUCGGAAAGAAAGAGUUGCAAUGAAUAAUUGUGAUUUAUGACGGUACCGACAGAAAAAGCACCGGCUAACUACGUGCCAGCAGCCGCGGUAAUACGUAGGGUGCGAGCGUUAAUCGGAAUUACUGGGCGUAAAGGGUGCGCAGGCGGUCUUGCAAGUCAGAUGUGAAAGCCCCGGGCUUAACCUGGGAAUUGCGUUUGAAACUACAAGGCUAGAGUGCAGCAGAGGGGAGUGGAAUUCCAUGUGUAGCAGUGAAAUGCGUAGAGAGGUGGAAGAACACCGAUGGCGAAGGCAGCUCCCUGGGUUGACACUGACGCUCAUGCACGAACGCGUGGGGAGCAAACA
rnacentral:rRNA from 1 species